rnacentral:rRNA from 1 species
UACGGGGGGGGCAAGCGUUGUUCGGAAUUACUGGGCGUAAAGGGCGCGUAGGCGGCUCUUCAAGUCAGCCGUGAAAUCUCUGGGCUUAACCUGGAAAAGUCGGUUGAUACUGUCGGGCUAGAGUGUGGAAGAGGCAACUGGAAUUCCGUGUGUAGCGGUGAAAUGCGUAGAUAUACGGAGGAACACCUGCGGCGAAGGCGGGUUGCUGGGCCAACACUGACGCUGAGGCGCGAAAGCCAGGGUAGCAAACGGG